rnacentral:tRNA from 1 species
GGGGCUGUAGCUCAGUGGUAGAGCACUUUCCUUACAUGUGUGAAGCAGUGUGUUAGAUCCACAUAACCCCA